rnacentral:lncRNA from 1 species
GUGUGGCAUAUCAUAUCAUGACAAUGUUCAUAUCAUGACAAUGUUCAGUUGAGAAAACUUCAUACACAGAGGCUUAACAGUGCAAGCACACAUUCAUGUAUGAUCAAAGAUGUUUCACUGUCUUUUCUGAAACAGCAUAAAAAUCCUUGUGCAUCACUUCAACAAACAUUUAUCAUUGAAAGAGAGCAUACUUGCAGGCCAAGUAUUAUAGUGCAUAGAUCCUACUGCCUGAUAAUAGGAUUAUAAAGAAAACACAGGGAUUCAAAUUCAAACCAUCCUUAAAUAUAUUUCAAUUAUAUUUGUUCGAUGAUGCCUAAUUCUCAUUCCACUUAAAUGUGAGUGUGAGUGACAUAAGGGCCAAGAGAAAAUAGAUACAAAUUUAGAAAAACCUCUGAUCCUAUGUAUUUAAAACACAUCUAAUGAUUUCAAAUUAAAAGUAUACAUACAUACACACACACAUGCUCAAUUUGUCAUAUUUGCAUGAAUUUAUAAUUUUAGUAUUUUUACAAUUUGCAAGAUAACUGAUUUUAUCACUUCAGAUGUGCUUACUUAUGAGGUAAAAAACAUUGUGUCCUUAAAAUCCUCCUGGUCCCUGAUCCUCCAGAUUCCCCCAUUUACCCACAUAUCCAAUCCUACAACAUCUUUCUCUCUCUUUAAAAAACAAAUAGGCAAAUAAAUAAAGAAAAAAAACAGAAUAAAAAAAUCCAACAAACUAAAAAAUACUCGAAGAAAAAGCAGAUAGAGACAUACUUACACACUUACUCCAAUACCCAUACAAUCACAAAAGGGUAGAUAAGGCAAAGACUGUAAGGUUAAAUAAAAGUAUUAACAGAGGAGCCAUUGUGAUACAAAACAAUCUCCACAAAUACCACUGAGUUCAUUUUGUUUUGGCCAUCUACUACUGGGCCUGUUGCUUCCCUUCGAGUGUGCUUUCUAUAUCCAAUGAGACUGCAUUGGAAGAGAACUAUUUUUUUCUUUUUGAGAGGUUUCAUUUGGCGAUAUCUUCUUAGUUAGUCAUAGGAGUUAUGUCCUUUUUCUUCUCUCAGUACUGAGACCCCUUCUGUUUUGGAACUUUGCAUCCUCUACACAUUCAACCACUGUCAGUAUGUGUUCAUAUUGUGCAUCAGUCCUAUUGUGUCUACAAGGUCCCAUUUUCUUGGCAUCCUCCAUCCUCUUGAACUCUUACAAUCUUUUCACAAACUCUUCUGUAAAGUUCUCUGAGCGGAGAGAGGUUUGGUGGAGUUGUCCCAUUUAGGACUCAGUGCUUCAAAGUCUCUCACUCUUUGAACGCUGUCCAGUUAUGGAGCUCUUUUAUUUGUUCCCAUCCACUGCAGGUAGAAGCCUCUCUGAUGAUGACUGAGUAAGACACUGAUGUACGAAUAUAACAGAAUGUCGUUAGGGGUUAUUAUAUUUCUAUGUUCCAUUAGCAGAAGACUAGUAUUUGGUUUUCAUAGGUUUGUGGUCCACCUGGUCUCAGGAAUUUAGCCUCUGAGCUGGCAUGGGUUCUUUUUCAUGUGGUGGGCCUUAACUCAAUCCAAUUGCAGUUUGUUGUUUCCACAAAACUUGUGAUAUUAUUGAAUCAGCAUGUUGUGUAGGCAGUUCACCAUUGUCGAAAAAUGGGUAUGUAAUUUGAUACCCUUUCUAAUCUGGUAGUGUGCUCAGAUUCUUCCAGCAUCAUAACUACUAUUCAGUAGGAAUAACAGCUCUAUUUAGAAUACAGCUUGACUUCUCCAUAUUAAAUAAGAAAUCUUGAAGUUUUCAUCGUCAAUAGAGCCUUAAUAUCGGAUUAUGGAAAGCUACCAGUAGCUUAUUCCAAAGCCUGAAUUAUUGGAGGUUUCCAUGACAAAUUUAACAAUAUGCCUUCUAAACAAACAAACAAACAAAAAUCAAGUAAAAGUG